rnacentral:rRNA from 1 species
AUUGAACGCUGGCGGCAUGCUUUACACAUGCCAGUCGAACGGUAACAGGCCUUCGGGUGCUGACGAGUGGCGAACGGGUGAGUAAUGCAUCGGAACGUACCCAGAGGUGGGGGAUAACGCAGCGAAAGCUGUGCUAAUACCGCAUGUGAUCUGAGGAUGAAAGCGGGGGACCGAGCAGCAAUGUUUGGCCUCGCGCCUUUGGAGCGGCCGAUGUCGGAUUAGCUAGUUGGUGGGGUAAAGGCCUACCAAGGCGACGAUCCGUAGCUGGUCUGAGAGGACGACCAGCCACACUGGGACUGAGACACGGCCCAGACUCCUACGGGAGGCAGCAGUGGGGAAUUUUGGACAAUGGGCGCAAGCCUGAUCCAGCAAUGCCGCGUGAGGGAAGAAGGCCUUCGGGUUGUAAACCGCUUUUGGCAGGAACGAAACGGUGUCCGCUAAUACCGGGCGCUAAUGACGGUACCUGAAGAAUAAGCACCGGCUAACUACGUG